UCAUCUCCGGGGGUAGAGCACUGUUUCGGCUAGGGGGCCAUCCCGGCUUACCAACCCGAUGCAAACUGCGAAUACCGGAGAAUGUUAUCACGGGAGACACACGGCGGGUGCUAACGUCCGUCGUGAAGAGGGAAACAACCCAGACCGCCAGCUAAGGUCCCAAAGUCAUGGUUAAGUGGGAAACGAUGUGGGAAGGCCCAGACAGCCAGGAUGUUGGCUUAGAAGCAGCCAUCAUUUAAAGAAAGCGUAAUAGCUCACUGGUCGAGUCGGCCUGCGCGGAAGAUGUAACGGGGCUAAACCAUGCACCGAAGCUGCGGCAGCGACACUGUGUGUUGUUGGGUAGGGGAGCGUUCUGUAAGCCUGCGAAGGUGGCCUGUGAGGGUUGCUGGAGGUAUCAGAAGUGCGAAUGCUGACAUAAGUAACGAUAAAGCGGGUGAAAAGCCCGCUCGCCGGAAGACCAAGGGUUCCUGUCCAACGUUAAUCGGGGCAGGGUGAGUCGACCCCUAAGGCGAGGCCGAAAGGCGUAGUCGAUGGGAAACGGGUUAAUAUUCCCGUACUUGGUGUUACUGCGAAGGGGGGACGGAGAAGGCUAUGUUGGCCGGGCGACGGUUGUCCCGGUUUAAGCGUGUAGGCUGGUUUUCCAGGCAAAUCCGGAAAAUCAAGGCUGAGGCGUGACGACGAGGCACUACGGUGCUGAAGCAACAAAUGCCCUGCUUCCAGGAAAAGCCUCUAAGCAUCAGGUAACAUCAAAUCGUACCCCAAACCGACACAGGUGGUCAGGUAGAGAAUACCAAGGCGCUUGAGAGAACUCGGGUGAAGGAACUAGGCAAAAUGGUGCCGUAACUUCGGGAGAAGGCACGCUGACAUGUAGGUGAAGUGAUUUACUCAUGGAGCUGAAGUCAGUCGAAGAUACCAGCUGGCUGCAACUGUUUAUUAAAAACACAGCACUGUGCAAACACGAAAGUGGACGUAUACGGUGUGACGCCUGCCCGGUGCCGGAAGGUUAAUUGAUGGGGUCAGCGCAAGCGAAGCUCCUGAUCGAAGCCCCGGUAAACGGCGGCCGUAACUAUAACGGUCCUAAGGUAGCGAAAUUCCUUGUCGGGUAAGUUCCGACCUGCACGAAUGGCGUAAUGAUGGCCAGGCUGUCUCCACCCGAGACUCAGUGAAAUUGAACUCGCUGUGAAGAUGCAGUGUACCCGCGGCAAGACGGAAAGACCCCGUGAACCUUUACUAUAGCUUGACACUGAACAUUGAGCCUUGAUGUGUAGGAUAGGUGGGAGGCUUUGAAGUGUGGACGCCAGUCUGCAUGGAGCCGGCCUUGAAAUACCACCCUUUAAUGUUUGAUGUUCUAACGUGGACCCGUAAUCCGGGUUGCGGACAGUGUCUGGUGGGUAGUUUGACUGGGGCGGUCUCCUCCUAAAGAGUAACGGAGGAGCACGAAGGUUGGCUAAUCCUGGUCGGACAUCAGGAGGUUAGUGCAAUGGCAUAAGCCAGCUUGACUGCGAGCGUGACGGCGCGAGCAGGUGCGAAAGCAGGUCAUAGUGAUCCGGUGGUUCUGAAUGGAAGGGCCAUCGCUCAACGGAUAAAAGGUACUCCGGGGAUAACAGGCUGAUACCGCCCAAGAGUUCAUAUCGACGGCGGUGUUUGGCACCUCGAUGUCGGCUCAUCACAUCCUGGGGCUGAAGUAGGUCCCAAGGGUAUGGCUGUUCGCCAUUUAAAGUGGUACGCGAGCUGGGUUUAGAACGUCGUGAGACAGUUCGGUCCCUAUCUGCCGUGGGCGCUGGAGAACUGAGGGGGGCUGCUCCUAGUACGAGAGGACCGGAGUGGACGCAUCACUGGUGUUCGGGUUGUCAUGCCAAUGGCACUGCCCGGUAGCUAAAUGCGGAAGAGAUAAGUGCUGAAAGCAUCUAAGCACGAAACUUGCCCCGAGAUGAGUUCUCCCUGAGACUUAGAGUCUCCUGAAGGAACGUUGAAGACGACGACGUUGAUAGGCCGGGUGUGUAAGCGCAGCGAUGCGUUGAGCUAACCGGUACUAAUGAACCGUGAGGCUUAACCUUACAACGCCG
rnacentral:rRNA from 1 species